UUGGUCACGUGGGAGGCUUGUGAUUCUGCGGGUUGCAAUCUUAACACGAACGGGAAAGCGGGAAGCAGCCUCUCAUCUCUCCAAAGUCAAUCGAAAGAGAGUGUACCAAAUUCUCCUUACAAUUCGAGUGAUAUCCGGUCGCGUGUGUGGCAUUAUCGCAACGUUAGUGGACGAGCGCAGCAACAAUUAAAGAAAUUCCAGCUUGAAAGGAUAACACUUACAAAUCAUGUCUCCAUUCGAAAAGUUAGUUUUUGUUGCCGUCACACUGCUGCUUGUCGCUGCUCAAGUGAUACUUUCCACCGAAAUCGAAGACACAAAUGGAGCAGAAGAGUCACUUUUAACAGACUGGUCAGAUCUUGGCGGUCUUGGCGAGGUUUCAAAACGAGGCGGCGCCAGCCUCGUUCCCGUUGUCUACAGAUGUUCACCAUUCAACAACAGCAUACGAUGUGAAAAUGGCGGCAAAGGGCCACGCGUCAAGACAACAAGCCGAGGUCUACUAUGCGCAUGCUUAUGUAAACCUGAAUCGGCUGGCCCAUCUUGUAAAGCACCAGGCUCUAAAGCAAAAAGAUUCCACGCCGACUGGAGGAAGUACUAAACAGAGGUCAGAGGUUACUUCCUCUGCAAGUGUCACUUCCGGAUCUGGAUAUCAAAGCAGGAACAGACUGUACAGGGCUUUGUAAAUUCCUUUCUUGGCCUUCUUGAUUUCACAAUGCAAUAUUGACAACCCUUUCUAAUGUAUUUGUAAGUUUGAACACGUCUCCUAUUUUGUAUAGUGUAAAUACGAUGGAGGUAAUCUGGGAGGAAACAGACGGAGCUGCAUUCUUACACUAGCAGCGCUGAACAAUUAGUCAGACGGAGUCUUUACCCUCGCUUUACGGCUAAAUUUCAUUCAAGAACUUGACCUCUAAAUGACUCGUAUGCUUGUAUCAACUUAUUUUGAGAUAUUGUGCUUUGACACAGGUUCGGAAUAUGUCUUGCAGAACCAGCGGAGAGGGCGGCAAAUUACGAAUCUGUGCAUGCAAGUUAUUUCUACCGACAACAAUUGAAAAACUGAUAUUUCUGAGUAAAGGGUUAAUAUCUUGAA